rnacentral:misc_RNA from 1 species
GAAAUGCGAUAAGUAAUGUGAACUGCCGAAUUCCGUGAAUCAUCGAAUCUUUGAACGCACAUUGCGCCCGCCAGUACUCUGGCGGGCAUGCCUGUUCGAGCGUCAUUUCGACCCUCGAGCCCCCGGGCUCGCGUUGGGGAUCUGCGGCCGCGCUCAGGCCCCGAAACCCAGUGUCGGGCUCACCGUCUCCCUCAGCGUAGUAGCAUCCGUUUCUCGCUCCGGGGCGUGGCGCGGGACCCGGCCGUUAAAGGGCGGUUGACAACCCCCAACAUACCCAGGUUGACCUCGGAUCAGGUAGGAAUACCCGCUGAACUUAA